AUAACAAGCAGAGGGGGGAACCAGGCCAGGAAAUUUUCUGGUAAUGUGCCUGCCCGCAUCACAGGGAGGCGGGCGGCACGCUUCCCUGUGGGUAGGGUCUGGCCGACAUACAGGGCCCUCUGUUCCCUUAAGACGGGAGUCGCCUACCACAGCUCCUCUCUUUCCUUCUUGGUGGAGGCGACCUUGAGGUGCGGAGUUGACUGCCUCGCCCUGGACAACCUCCUGAGUGGACCACGCCCUGUGUGCCCACACUCCUGGGAGCCGCCAUCACUUCCAGCUCAGAGUUGGGCGUCGACCACCCUGAGGGGAGCGCAGGUGCUCCCUGCGCCCUCCCUGCGCUCAUUCCUGCUUCUUGCCCAGAGAUUUCUCGUGACGGCCCAGCUACGUUGUCACCCUCUUCUUCCAUCUCCAUCUGAGGAGUUUCUUUCCUUACGACAUCAGCUGACUUUUGCAGCCAGUUUGUUUUGUCUCGUGUCUGUGACUGACACCGUACGGAAGCAGCCCUCAGACCUGACCGCACUGCCCACACGCAGGGGAGUAGCCCAGGCUGUCAGGCAGCUGGCAGCAG
rnacentral:lncRNA from 1 species